rnacentral:lncRNA from 1 species
CUUUCCCCAGGCAAUCUACCUCAUGAACAAAUGUUCUCCUAUUGUGCAAUAAAAAUUUGUCCAAUAACCUUAUACUUAUUUAUAACACUACAUCCUAGUACAUCCCUACAACUUAUUUAUUAUACUAUACCUGUUAUUUUAGCACACCUGUACAUACAAAUUAAUUAUUUUUUGUGUGUGCGUGUGUGUGUCUGUGGUUUAUUUAUAUUUAUAUAUGUGCAUUUUAUUCACAUAUUAUUUUUUAUUAUGCAACUGAAAUGGAAUGUCAAUGGUACUUCAUGGAUCAUCAAUGCAAGGACAUUUAUUUUUAAGAGAUAUUAAGGCAUUUGUUCUAAAGGUAGAUUUUAAUUGUUCAUAAAAAUAUAAAACUCUCACUUCAGCUAAGUACAAAGUAACUCAUAUUCAGAGUUAAGCUAAAAGUCUAGUAAUAUACUUGUUCUUAGUUAUAAAAACUAGCAUUAAUAUUUGUCCUUUUUUCUUUUUUUUUUUUUUUUUUGCUUGCAAGAUGGAAAUAUGUAUACAGACAUUUGAUACUGACAAUAAUAUUCCAGGGUCAAAGAUAUAUUUCAGUAUAUUCUACACUAUAAAUUAUAAUCAAUUUAAUGCCUUGUUGCCAAGUAUUUAAUGAUAUUUUAGUUUAGUAUAUGAAAAAUAUAAUAUAUUCAAAUUCAUACAUAUCAUAUAUUUUUAAACUCUUUCCAAACUGUCUGCUAUAGUUGAAAUUUGAUUGUAAAGAUCAUAUCACUCACUCACCAGUCUAAUAUAGUGAAAGGUUCUGAGAACAGCGAUCAUGAAACGCUCUUACCUACAGUACGUAUAUGCUGUUGGAAGGAGGAGCUAUACAGUUAUUUCAUUACCCAGCUCCUGCUAUAUAUGAGUUAGUUACAUCUUAGAGAGAAAUGUGCAGCAUCGAUUCUCAUUAUCACUUUUGUCCUUUUAUUGGUCAGAUGUUGUUCCUGGUCUUGAUCAUUAUUUCUCUGUUCAAAGAGAAUGCUGAUGCAAAUACAGUAAACCCACUGGUCCCAGAGAAGCACAUUACAGCAGGGGACAAUGUUACCCUUUCCUGUAAAUACAGUGGCACUGUUAACACACUGCAGUGGUAUCGGCAAUAUCCAGGAUCCCGAAUAGAGUUUCUAAUUUUUGCCACUGAGCUCAGUGGCCAGUCAGAGCAUGCACUUCGACUUUCAUCUACAGCUGAUAGAGGCAACAAACAAAUGCAUCUGAACAUCUUUUUAACAGAAAUGGAAGAUUCUGCAAUAUACUACUGUGCUCUGGUGCCCACAGUGACGGGAACACUGCAUCACUGUACAAAAACCUGAAACCAGUACUAGAAGCACCUAUCCA